rnacentral:lncRNA from 1 species
AUAUAUAGUAAUUAAAAACAGACAGUAGUACAAUAACCUGUGCCUGCACACAGACAGAAAUACAGAGAGCAGAUAGCUAGAAGAAUCACUUAGUACAGUGAAAAUUAACCUGGCAAUCGCAGAAGUUUAAGAUCUACAUUUCCCGUGCUCCUAAAAUAAAGAUUAUGGAUCAAGGUAAAUGUAGUUCCUGAACACCCAGGGUUACUAGUUUAGUAAUCACCGGUUUAGUAUUAUAUCCGAGAGGUAACAUAUUAUAUGGACUGAGACUGCAUAAAAACUUAGUUGCUGGUUGAAAAUCUGAGGUAAAUGAUGGUUAAACAAUGCUUCCUUGCAUCGCUUUUGCAAUGAAAUCAUAAAUAAAAAGACCAAAUGCAUCUAAUAAAAAAAUUAUAAAAAGUCUUCAAACAGAUUGGACAAAACAUUGUUAAAAUUGAAAAAAUCUGUAGUUAUGAAACGAAAGUUGGCAGUUUAUAGUCUUGAGCUAUUGUCACAGAGGAAGGAAGUAUUAUAAUCAGAAUUACAUUCAGUACACGUCCCAAGGCAAAAAAUAAAAUAAAUAAAUUUAAAAAAAAGAAAAAAACAAAAAACAGGCAACUUCAAACUUCAUCUACUUAACUACCAGUUUAAAGAUAAUGAAAUUAAUCAAUGAUGUAUUUAAAGUACCAAAAAUGUAUAUAGGCAAAUAAAAUAAAUGAAAGCAAUAAUAAAUGGGGAUCCAGUGAAGAAGUUGGGUGCAGAUGCUUGCAUUAUUCAUAUACCGUGUUAAAAAAAAAAAAAAAAAACCAACAAACUCCUAUUACCUUUAAACUCAAUUUCAUUCUAGGAUUGGGAAGGAAUUUUCACGCAGCCUGAUUUUUUCCAAAGUGAGAUCAUCAAGCUUGAUGUGUGACCAAACAAAUGCUUCUUAUACAGAACAUAUGGAGCAUGCGCAGCAAUCGCCUUGAUCUACCAAUCCCAACACAUUGUCUCCAAAGCUUCUCAUAAAGUAAUAUUCGGCACACACAUCCAAGCGUCUUGUCUCAGUAAACUCAGCAUGCAGACACUGGAUGUAAAAUGGAUUCAAUUGUUGAAUUACUUUGACAGCUUACUAGCUUGGGGGGUGUCAACAUUUAAACCAUGCAAUUUCCUCAGUUUCAGCUGCGUGGACAGGAUCUAUACCUCAAAAUCCCUUUAUUUCGAUCAGGGGUCCUCAAACUCCGCCCCCCCAGAUGUUGCUGAACUACAACUCCCAUGAUUCUUUGAAUUACAUGGAGAAUCAUGGGAGUUGUAGUUCAGCAACAUCUGGGUGGCUGGAGUUUAAGGACCCCUGAUUUAGAUGACGUCACUCAUUUUGUGAUACCUAAAUUGUUACUUUUUUUGGUAUUAAAUAUAUGAGAAUAGCAAUGCUGUUGCGUGCCAGAUGGAAAUACACAGCCUUUCACUUAAGCAGUAAAAUAUAAAUUUAUUCUGAAUUAAACAAGAUUUGUUACAAUUAUAAGAAAAAAAGAUUAGUUUCAAUUUGCCAAUAAAUUUACCUUAUGAUAUUUUAGAACGGGUUAAUUGAAGGGGAACAAUGAGGGGUCUACAUGAAUCCUAAAAGGGGUAAUGUUAGUGAAUACAUACAUGCUUCCCAACAUGAAGUGGCUAACUUCAAACAAGCAGAAAGUUGGCAAAACUAGUAUAAUCUGGGAGGUUUCUGGAAUAUUAAUUCAGAACAUUUUCAAAUAUGUAAAUGCUUAAAUAUGGAUUCAUGUAGAAGAUUUAGAUCAGCUACACCUGGAUCACAACCAGAUAACAUUAUAUAAAGUUAUUUAUUUAUUCUGAUUCUUUGCUCUUUUACAAAAAUCAACCCUCUGACAUAUGUCCUAUUACUUUGCUUUAAAAAGUUACCAAAUCUUUUCUUUGAUGACAUUUAUGAAAUAUUUGUCCACCAAUGCACUGGCAGAAAUACAGCCAUGUGAGUUUUUACAAAGCAUGCCCUGAAAUUUAAAAUGGGAAGAAACAAAAAACCCACUAAUAGAGAAUAUGUUCACCUUAAAUUUCUGAAAAAUACACAAAAUAUUGUAAAGCAGACACAGGUCAAUUUUAGACAUUAUGCUUCCAUGCCUUAUGUCUUACGAAACAGUAAUAAAUAUUUUGACUGAAGUCCCACUCUCUUGCUUCAAAGACCCACUCAUUUCCAUUAGAGAGCGUUACGUGAUCUACAGCCUUAAUACAAUGACAUCUUUCUGUUCAUAAAUUUUAAUCUCUGGAUCAUCAAAAAGAGCAUUAAAGACUUAAAAGAUACCUUAGCAUGCUUCGCCAUGGGCAGAAUAAAUACUUGAUGGCUAUCGUUAGCUGACGUAAAGGAGAGAGCUGUUCACAAGAUUCCUAAACAGAGUUUACAGUGAAUGUAGACCACUGACUGUAUAAUAUAUAUCAGACUUGAAAGCAAGUGUAUCAGUACUUCGUUGUAUACCCCUAAUUCAACACAUCACAAUCCAUACAGCUACACAUUUUAGCUCUUAAGAGUAAUAAGGUGAAGUCACAUAUGCAGACGAGGAAACCGAUUUUAUCCUCUAAUCUAUACAUUUGCUUGCAAAUUUUCUGGCACCAAAAAUUGUCUAAAGAUCUUUAAUAGCACUCCACCUGAUACCAGCAAGCAGCUGGGAAUAGCCAUGUGCCACUUGAGGUCAAAUAUUGGUGAUUCAACAUCUAACAGUGAUAAGCUAGGUGCAGCAACUCUAACCUCUGGUUGACAAUAUAAAGACACUUUAUGUUUCACAUUCACGUAGUAAAUCCAGUUUAAGUGACAGGAGUCCUUGAAUUCUGAAUGUCUAAUUGUUUCCAAAGACUUAUGAGCAUUGGCAUUUUUGAAUCAAACACACAGCACAUUAUAUAGAUUUAUAUUUCAGGUUCAUUCGGGUAAGGGAUAAUUUCACAAAACACUUCCAGAAACUGGUAAAUUAUAUCUCCUAGCUUUCACUAAAAUUGCUGUAGCUGGGAUAAGCAGUAAACACAUGGAUACAUGUGUACUGCAAAAUGAUGUGGGGUCAAAUAAUUUAUUACAUUACUUUGAUUAAAUGGGACCUAAAGAAAAGCAUUACAUGAGCAUCUCCUUCAAAUAUUUCACAAAGCAUUUAAAAUGGCUAUGUUAAAACAUCAUGAAUAUAGAUCAUGUAUAUAGACUGAAUCCCAGAUAAGCCCUGCUAGGAAUCAAACCUGCAAUGCUUAGGUUUGCACAGUGAUUGAUGUUGGUGCAUUAACCAACUUGCAAGAGGUGGGGUGAGGACAAUGACAACUAAAGUUCAUUAAUGGCAGCCGUGACUUGAGUUGGAAAGAAAUACACUCAGUGGGAAAGGCUGAAUUUUAGGUUUUUAAACACUAACCCUGGACAUUGUAGGUGUCGUGAUCUGUAUGUUACACUCCUCAUUGAAUAUAUUGGGCUAGAUUGUAUUAGAUAUGCUAAGCUUAUUUCUUUUAUCCGAAUAUCAUUUUGCCAUGGAUGUCAAUUAAAAAAUGGCUUUCCAAUUAAAAGAUAUAAAGCUUUUAUUGUCGAAUAGAACCUAACCCACAGUCAGCAAAGGAUGAUAAUAUAUAUCCAAGGAUUAAUCAUGGUAGGUAUAUCUCUGUUUUUCGUGUUUGAACGAAAACAGAAUUCAGUCUUCUUUACUUCUUUAGAAUACGUUGUACGUUAUGAAUUGUAUUGUUCCGAGAGAAUAAGUGCAUAUCAAGUCCUGUGGUUUAUUAAGAUUAGCAAAUAUACACUCACAGUUAGCUCCCAAUUAUAAAUGUGUCCUUUAAAAAAAAAAAUUUCCUGCAUCAAAAUUUACAAAUAUAAUACUGGCUAAUGAAGGUUCAUUUUAAAAGACGCCAAAAAUAUGGAAAAUAAUAUUUUCACUUUGGCAUGUACUUAUUCAGGAUUUGUUAUUCCAUUGUGAGACAGACUUUGGCACCUAUUCCCAAGUCCAAACUAUUUUAUUUUACUGUUAUGGUGUAAAAAACAUCAAUCGCCUUUCUGCUUUCACAGGCUAGAAUUUCAGGUGUUUGGGAAGAACUUUUCCCAUCAGAAUCAGAUAGAGAUAUAUAUAUAUAUAUA